AUUGAACGCUGGCGGCAGGCUUAACACAUGCAAGUCGAGCGGGGACUUCGGUCCUAGCGGCGGACGGGUGAGUAAUGCCUAGGAAUCUGCCUGGUAGUGGGGGACAACGUUUCGAAAGGAACGCUAAUACCGCAUACGUCCUACGGGAGAAAGCAGGGGACCUUCGGGCCUUGCGCUAUCAGAUGAGCCUAGGUCGGAUUAGCUAGUUGGUGGGGUAAUGGCUCACCAAGGCAACGAUCCGUAACUGGUCUGAGAGGAUGAUCAGUCACACUGGAACUGAGACACGGUCCAGACUCCUACGGGAGGCAGCAGUGGGGAAUAUUGGACAAUGGGCGAAAGCCUGAUCCAGCCAUGCCGCGUGUGUGAAGAAGGUCUUCGGAUUGUAAAGCACUUUAAGUUGGGAGGAAGGGCAGUAAGCUAAUACCUUGCUGUUUUGACGUUACCGACAGAAUAAGCACCGGCUAACUCUGUGCCAGCCGCCGCCGUAAAAC
rnacentral:rRNA from 1 species